rnacentral:ncRNA from 1 species
GAAAAAUUAUGAGUUUGAUCCUGGCUCCGAGUGAAUGCUAGUGAUAUGCUUUACACAUGCAAGUUGAACGCUAGUAAUAGAGUAGCAUAAAGGUGAGUAAUAUAUAAGAAUUUUAAUAUUAAUUUUGGCAAUAAAAAAGGAAAUCCAAAAUAAAAAAAGAAAGAGAAGUCAGAAAUGAAAAGCUCGUUAAUAUAAAAGCUUAUAUCGAAUUAGGUAGUUGGUAAGGUAAAGGCUUACCAAGCCAAAGAUUCGUAGUUGGUCUGGGAGGAUGAUCAGCCACAUUGGAAUUGAAAGAAAGUCCAACCUCGUUAGAGGCAGCAGUGGGGAAUAUUGGACAAUGAGCGCAAGCUUGAUCCAGCAAUAUCACGUGAGAGAUGAAAUAGAAUGUAAACCUCUUUUAUUAAGGAAGAUAAUGACGAGAAUUAAAGAAGAAGCCCCGGCUAACUUCGUGCCAGCAGCCGCGGUAACUCGGAGGGGGCAAGUAUUAUUCGUAAGGAUUGGGCGUAAAGGGUACGUAGGCUGUUUUAAAAAGGCCUUAUGUUAAAGAGCACUGAAAGGGGCAAAUGCAUAAGCAACAAUAAAACUAGAAUACAACAGAUGAACUGAGUAUAUCUAAUUAAGAGAUAAAAUUCGUAAAAAUUAAAUAGACUGUCAGUAGGCGAAAGCACAGUUCAAUGAAGUAUUGACGCUGAGGUACGAAGGCAUAGGGAGCAAACAGGAUUAGAGACCCUGGUAGUCUAUGCAGUAAACGAUGAGUGUUCAAUAUUAAAAAAUUAAUAUUUUAGCUAACGCGUUAAACACUCCGCCUGAGUAGUACUGUCGCAAGAUUAAAACUCAAAGGAAUUGACUGAGAUUUGCGCAAUUUGUGGAACAUGUAGUUUAAUUCGAUAUAACACGAAAAAUCUUACCAAUUUUUGCAUUAUGUAUAUAAUAUUUGAAAGAAGAAAAGGUUCAAAAAAAUAAGCAUAAAACAGGUGCUGCAUGGCUGUCGUAAGUUCGUGCUGUUAGGUGUUAGGUUAAUUCCUUGAGCGAACGUAAUCCUUAUAUUUAGUUAAUUAAAAUCUAAAUAGCUGAAAAUGACACGUUUUAAGUGGAAGUUGAGGAUGAUGUCAAGUCUGUAUGGCCUUUAUAGAUUGGGCUACAUAUGUGUUACAAUGGUUAGUACAAAAGGAAGCGAAAGUGAAAGCUGGAGCAAAUCCUCAAAACUAAUCUUAGUUUGGAUUGGUUUCUGAAACUCGAAAUCAUGAAAGUGGAACAAAUAGUAAUCUUAGAUUAGCAAGCUUAGGUGAAUCGGUGUCAAAUCUAGUACACACUGCCCGUCAAUGCAAGGAAAUGUAUUUUGUAUAAUAUAAUUCUUUUUAUAGAAUUUAAUAUAUUUGAGAUUAAAAAUCUAAUUAAUAUUUUUAUUAAUAAAUUUAUUAAUAAUUUUAUUAAAGAAUUAUUGAGUACAAAUGAGUGACCUAGUAUAAGUCGUAACACGGUAGCCGUAGGGGAACCUGCGGCUGGA